GGGGAAUUUUCCGCAAUGGGCGAAAGCCUGACGGAGCAAUACCGCGUGAGGGAGGAAGGCUCUUGGGUUGUAAACCUCUUUUCUCAAGGAAGAUGAUGACGGUACUUGAGGAAUAAGCAUCGGCUAACUCCGUGCCAGCAGCCGCGGUAAUACAGAGGAUGCAAGCGUUAUCCGGAAUGAUUGGGCGUAAAGGGUCCGCAGGUGGAAUUUCAAGUCUGCUGUCAAAGCGUGAAGCUUAACUUCAUAAAGGCAGUGGAAACUGAGAAUCUAGAGUACGUUCGGGGCAGAGGGAAUUCCUCCUGUAGCGGUGAAAUGCGUAGAGAUUGGGAAGAACACCAGUGGCGAAAGCGCUCUGCUAGGCCUGUACUGACACUGAGGGACGAAAG
rnacentral:rRNA from 1 species